UACGGGGGGGGCAAGCGUUGUUCGGAAUUACUGGGCGUAAAGGGCUCGUAGGCGGCCAACUAAGUCGGACGUGAAAUCCCCAGGCUCAACCUGGGAACUGCGUCCGAUACUGGAUGGCUUGAAUUCGGGAGAGGGAUGCAGAAUUCCAGGUGUAGCGGUGAAAUGCGUAGAUAUCUGGAGGAAUACCGGUGGCGAAGGCGGCAUCCUGGACCGACAUUGACACUGAAGCACGAAAGCGUGGGGAUCAAACAGG
rnacentral:rRNA from 1 species